rfam:Gorilla gorilla gorilla genomic chromosome, chr3, whole genome shotgun sequence
GGGAAACGGGAAGAGGGGCCAGCCCCAGGCCCCACAACAAAGUGGGGCA